AGCCUAAAGUGUCAUUUUAGGUGAAACCUGCCCAGUGCAUAGCAUAUUUGUAAACGGCCGCAGUACCUUGACUGUGCUAAGGUAGCAUAAUAAGUUGACUUUUAAAUGGAGUCGGGAAUGAAUGGGAAAAUGGGGUUAAGCUGUCUCUAUCACAUUAAUUUAAACUUAACUAUUAGGUGAAAAUGCCUAAGAUUAGAAAAAAGACGAGAAGACCCUAGGAGUUUUUAUUAAAAAGCUAGAGUUGGCUUUAUUAUUUUUGUUGGGGCGACAAAGGAGGAAUAACAUAAACCUCCUUUUACUUAUUUGCCGACAGUGUAUGAAAAAAUAAACUACCCUAGGGAUAACAGCGUAAUUUUUUAAAAAGUUUGCGACCUCGAUGUUGGACUAGGAAUUUGUUAGACUAGCCGUCUAUUUUUAUUGUUCUGUUCGAACUAAUUUUCC
rnacentral:rRNA from 1 species